UGNGAAAUCUGUGUCCACUACUUGCCUU
rnacentral:piRNA from 1 species